CACUGCUGACUAACUAACGUCUCUGACCAGCAGGAAAAAAGAAAUGCAUCUACAAUACUCCAAUACAGAUGCAUCUUCAGAGAGUGUGGCACAGAGUACUUCAUGAACACCUGAAUCCAGA